UUGGAGGGCAAGUCUGGUGCCAGCAGCCGCGGUAAUUCCAGCUCCAAUAGCGUAUAUUAAAGUUGUUGCAGUUAAAAAGCUCGUAGUUGAAUUUCGGGGUCAGUAGGUCGGUCGUGCUACUGGUAUGAACUGGUUUUACUGAUUCCUCCCUCUUGAAGAACUGUAAUGCCAUUAAUUUGGUGUUGCAGGGAAUCAGGACUGUUACUUUGAAAAAAUUAGAGUGUUUAAAGCAGGCUUUAGCUUGAAUACAUUAGCAUGGAAUAAUGAAGUAGGACGUUUGAUCCUAUUUUGUUGGUUUCUAGGAUUGACGUAAUGAUUAAUAGGGAUAGUUGGGGGCAUUAGUAUUCAAUUGUCAGAGGUGAAAUUCUUGGAUUUAUUGAAGACUAACUACUGCGAAAGCAUUUGCCAAGGAUGUUUUCAUUAAUCAAGAACGAAAGUUAGGGGAUCGAAGACGAUCAGAUACCGUCGUAGUCUUAACCAUAAACUAUGCCGACUAGGGAUCGGAUGAUGUUAAUUUUUUAAUGACUCAUUCGGCGCCUUACGGGAAAC
rnacentral:rRNA from 1 species